rnacentral:rRNA from 1 species
UGAGGAAUAUUGGUCAAUGGGCGCAAGCCUGAACCAGCCAUGCCGCGUGCAGGAUGAAGGUCCUACGGAUCGUAAACUGCUUUUGUACGGGAAGAAUUUCCUUGAUUUAUCAGGGAUUGACGGUACCGUAUGAAUAAGGAUCGGCUAACUCCGUGCCAGCAGCCGCGGUAAUACGGAGGAUCCUAGCGUUAUCCGGAUUCACUGGGUUUAAAGGGUGCGUAGGCGGAAUAAUAAGUCAAUGGUGAAAGCCUGCAGCUUAACUGUAGAAUUGCCAUUGAUACUGUUAUUCUUGAGUACAGCUGAGGUGGGUGGAAUGUGUAAUGUAGCGGUGAAAUGCGUAGAUAUUACACAGAACACCGAUUGUGAAAACAGCCCACUAAACUGUAACUGACGCUGAGGCACGAAAGCGUGGGUAGCAAACA